UACGUAGGUGGCAAGCGUUAUCCGGAUUUACUGGGUGUAAAGGGCGUGUAGGCGGUUUUGCAAGUCAGAUGUGAAAUCUCCGGGCUUAACCCGGAAACUGCAUCUGAAACUGCAGAACUUGAGUACUGGAGAGGAUAGUGGAAUUCCUAGUGUAGCGGUAAAAUGCGUAGAUAUUAGGAGGAACCCCAGUGGCGAAGGCGACUAUCUGGACAGUAACUGACGCUGAGGCGCGAAAGCGUGGGGAGCAAACAGGAUUAGAUACCCUGGUAGU
rnacentral:rRNA from 1 species